GACAGAGGGUGCAAACGUUGUUCGGAAUCACUGGGCGUAAAGCGUGUGUAGGCGGUCUUGUAAGUCGGAUGUGAAAGCCCCGGGCUCAACCUGGGAAGUGCACUCGAUACUGCAAGACUUGAGUACUGGAGAGGUUGGUGGAAUUCUCGGUGUAGAGGUGAAAUUCGUAGAUAGUCGGGAAAGAACAUCGGUGGCGAAGGCGGCCAACUGGACAGAUACUGACGCUGAGACACGAAAGCGUGGGGAGCAAACAGG
rnacentral:rRNA from 1 species